rnacentral:rRNA from 1 species
UACGUAGGCAGCGAGCGUUGUUCGGAAUUACUGGGCGUAAAGAGUGUGUAGGCGGUGCUCUAAGUCUGUCGUGAAAUCUCCCGGCUUAACUGGGAGGGUGCGGCGGAUACUAUUGUGCUAGAGGGUGGGAGAGGAAAGCGGAAUUCCUGGUGUAGCGGUGAAAUGCGUAGAUAUCAGGAGGAACACCUGCGGUGUAGACAGCUUUCUGGACCACUUCUGACGCUGAGACACGAAAGCGUGGGUAGCAAAC